UACGUAGGGGGCGAGCGUUGUCCGGAUUUACUGGGCGUAAAGCGCACGUAGGUGGCGACGUAAGUCGGGUGUGAAAGCCCCGGGCUCAACCUGGGAAUUGCAUUCGAGACUGCAUUGCUGGAGUACGGAAGAGGAAGGCGGAAUUCCCGGUGUAGCGGUGAAAUGCGUAGAUAUCGGGAGGAACAUCAGUGGCGAAGGCGGCCUUCUGGUCCAGUACUGACACUCAAGUGCGAAAGCGUGGGGAGCAAACAGG
rnacentral:rRNA from 1 species